rnacentral:rRNA from 1 species
GAUGAACGCUGGCGGCGUGCCUAAUACAUGCAAGUCGAGCGAACAGAUGAGGAGCUUGCUCCUCUGACGUUAGCGGCGGACGGGUGAGUAACACGUGGAUAACCUACCUAUAAGACUGGGAUAACUUCGGGAAACCGUAGCUAAUACCGGAUAAUAUAUUGAACCGCAUGGUUCAAUAGUGAAAGACGGUUUUGCUGUCACUUAUAGAUGGAUCCGCGCCGGAUUAGCUAGUUGGUAAGGUAACGGCUUACCAAGGCGACGAUGCGUAGCCGACCUGAGAGGGUGAUCGGCCACACUGGAACUGAGACACGGUCCAGACUCCUACGGGAGGCAGCAGUAGGGAAUCUUCCGCAAUGGGCGAAAGCCUGACGGAGCAACGCCGCGUGAGUGAUGAAGGUCUUCGGAUCGUAAAACUCUGUUAUUAGGGAAGAACAAAUGUGUAAGUAACUAUGCACGUCUUGACGGUACCUAAUCAGAAAGCCACGGCUAACUACGUG